GCCGAGAUGGUGAAAUUGGUAGACACGCUAGCAUGAGGUGUUAGUGCCUUUGGUGUGAGGGUUCGAGUCCCUCUCUCGGCACCA
rnacentral:tRNA from 1 species